UACCGGCGCCUCAAGUGGUAGUCGAUUUUAUUGGGCCUAAAGCAUCCGUAGCCGGCUCUGUAAGUUUUCGGUUAAAUCUGUACGCUCAACGUACAGGCUGCCGGGAAUACUGCAGAGCUAGGGAGUGGGAGAGGUAGACGGUACUCGGUAGGAAGGGGUAAAAUCCUUUGAUCUAUUGAUGACACCUGUGGCGAAGGCGGUCUACCAGAACACGUCCGACGGUGAGGGAUGAAAGCUGGGGGAGCAAACCGG
rnacentral:rRNA from 1 species